rnacentral:sRNA from 1 species
AUUCGGAUGCUGGAUAAUCGGAAAAUGGGUGAUAUGCCUGAGAUCAGUGGAAAAUUAGUAAAGAGUGGCAUGUCAGGGCCCAGGUGCUGCUGGGCCCUCAGUGUGGAGGGGCAUUCUAUUGGAAAGACCUGCCCUCUGUGGAUCUGCCUUUUUAGUGGAGCAUCAUAAGGGUUGUAUUCCAUGACAGACGGCUACAAUACACAGAGCAUCAGCAACUUGAAGGAUGGAAGUGGAAUCGCCCAGGAGACAGACUUCUUGAUUUAGAUAUUCCAAUGUCUGUGGGAAUAAUUGACACAAGGACGAAUCCAAGCCAGUUAAAUGCGGUUGAAUUUCUGUGGGACCCAGCAAAACGCACCUCUGCUUUCAUUCAGGUACACUGCAUCAGCACAGAAUUUACUCCACGGAAGCACGGAGGUGAAAAGGGAGUGCCCUUUAGGAUCCAGGUUGACACCUUUAAGCAGAAUGAAAAUGGAGAAUACACAGAUCAUCUACACUCAGCUAGCUGCCAAAUCAAAGUUUUUAAGCCUAAAGGUGCAGACAGGAAACAAAAAACUGACCGAGAGAAGAUGGAGAAGAGAACAGCUCA